UACGGGGGGGGCAAGCGUUGUUCGGAAUUACUGGGCGUAAAGGGCUCGUAGGCGGCCAACUAAGUCGGACGUGAAAUCCCUCAGCUUAACUGGGGAACUGCGUCCGAUACUGGAUGGCUUGGAUUCGGGAGAGGGAUGCGGAAUUCCAGGUGGUAGCGGUGAAAUGCGUAGAUAUCAGGAGGAACACCGGUGGCGAAGGCGGGUCUCUGGGCAGUAACUGACGCUGAGGAGCGAAAGCGUGGGGAGCGAACAGG
rnacentral:rRNA from 1 species